rnacentral:tRNA from 1 species
AGCUGGGUGUAGUGGUUUGAGCACUGGACUAUGACUUUGGAGACCAGGGUUCAAAUCCCCACUCAGCCA